CCUACGGGAGGCAGCAGUGAGGAAUCUUGGACAAUGGGGGAAACCCUGAUCCAGCCAUGCCGCGUGAGUGAAGAAGGCCUUCGGGUUGUAAAACUCUUUCACCGGUGACGAUAAUGACGGUAGCCGGAGAAGAAGCCCCGGCUAACUCCGUGCCAGCAGCCGCGGUAAUACGGAGGGGGCUAGCGUUGUUCGGAAUUACUGGGCGUAAAGCGCGCGUAGGCGGCCUGGCAAGUUGGGCGUGAAAGCCCGGGGCUCAACCCCGGAUGUGCGCCCAAAACUGCCAAGCUAGAGGCCGAGAGAGGGUGGCGGAAUUCCCAGUGUAGAGGUGAAAUUCGUAGAUAUUGGGAAGAACACCAGUGGCGAAGGCGGCCACCUGGCUCGGUUCUGACGCUGAGGUGCGAAAACGUGGGGAGCAAACAGGAUUAGAUACCCUGGUAGUCCACGCCGUAAACGAUGAGUGCUAGAUGUCAGGGGGUUGCCCCUUGGUGUCACAGCUAACGCAUUAAGCACUCCGCCUGGGAAGUACGGUCGCAAGAUUAAAACUCAAAGGAAUUGACGG
rnacentral:rRNA from 1 species